rnacentral:rRNA from 1 species
UGAGCUUGAUCCUGGCUCAGGACGAACGCUGGCGGCGUGCCUAAUACAUGCAAGUCGAACGCUUUUUCUUUCACCGGAGCUUGCUCCACCGAAAGAAAAAGAGUGGCGAACGGGUGAGUAACACGUGGGUAACCUGCCCAUCAGAAGGGGAUAACACUUGGAAACAGGUGCUAAUACCGUAUAACACUAUUUUCCGCAUGGAAGAAAGUUGAAAGGCGCUUUUGCGUCACUGAUGGAUGGACCCGCGGUGCAUUAGCUAGUUGGUGAGGUAACGGCUCACCAAGGCAACGAUGCAUAGCCGACCUGAGAGGGUGAUCGGCCACACUGGGACUGAGACACGGCCCAGACUCCUACGGGAGGCAGCAGUAGGGAAUCUUCGGCAAUGGACGAAAGUCUGACCGAGCAACGCCGCGUGAGUGAAGAAGGUUUUCGGAUCGUAAAACUCUGUUGUUAGAGAAGAACAAGGAUGAGAGUAAAAUGUUCAUCCCUUGACGGUAUCUAACCAGAAGCCG